rnacentral:rRNA from 1 species
GAGUUUGAUCCUGGCUCAGAUUGAACGCUGGCGGCAUGCUUUACACAUGCAAGUCGAACGGCAGCACGGGGUUUACCCUGGUGGCGAGUGGCGAACGGGUGAGGAAUACAUCGGAACGUGUCUAUAAGUGGGGGAUAACGCAUCGAAAGAUGUGCUAAUACCGCAUAAUCUCUCAGGAGAAAAAGCAGGGGAUCGCAAGACCUUGCGCUUUAGGAGCGGCCGAUGCCUGAUUAGCUUGUUGGUAAGGUAAAAGCUUACCAAGGCUUCGAUCAGUAGCUGGUCUGAGAGGACGACCAGCCACACUGGGACUGAGACACGGCCCAGACUCCUACGGGAGGCAGCAGUGGGGAAUUUUGGACAAUGGGGGAAACCCUGAUCCAGCCAUGCCGCGUGAGUGAAGAAGGCCUUCGGGUUGUAAAGCUCUUUCUAGCCGGAACGAACGGUUACGAGUUAAUACUCGUAAUUAAU